UACGUAGGUGGCAAGCGUUAUCCGGAAUUAUUGGGCGUAAAGCGCGCGCAGGCGGUUUCUUAAGGCUGAUGUGAAAGCCCACGGCCCAACCGUGGAGGGUCAUUGGAAACUGGGGAACUUGAGUGCAGAAGAGAAAAGCGGAAUUCCACGUGUAGCGGUGAAAUGCGUAGAGAUGUGGAGGAACACCAGUGGCGAAGGCGGCUUUUUGGUCUGUAACUGACGCUGAGGCGCGAAAGCGUGGGGAGCAAACAGG
rnacentral:rRNA from 1 species